CCUACGGGAGGCUGCAGUGAGGAAUAUUGGUCAAUGGUCGGGAGACUGAACCAGCCAAGCCGCGUGAGGGAUGAAGGUACAGAGUAUCGUAAACCUCUUUUGUCAGGGAACAAAGGCGGGGACGUGUCCCCGGAUGAGUGUACCUGAAGAAAAAGCAUCGGCUAACUCCGUGCCAGCAGCCGCGGUAAUACGGAGGAUGCGAGCGUUAUCCGGAUUGAUUGGGUUUAAAGGGUGCGCAGGCGGUCUGUUAAGUCAGCGGUCAAAGCCCGGGGCUCAACCCCGGCCCGCCGUUGAAACUGGCAGUCUCGAGUUGGAGAGAAGUAUGCGGAAUGCGCGGUGUAGCGGUGAAAUGCAUAGAUAUCGCGCAGAACUCCGAUUGCGAAGGCAGCAUGCCGGCUCCACACUGACGCUGAGGCACGAAAGCGUGGGUAUCGAACAGGAUUAGAUACCCUUGUAGUC
rnacentral:rRNA from 1 species